CGAGCUUAAUGGAAGAAAUAUGCAAAAUACCUAAUUCUUUGCAUAUGCAAGGUAAUGAAUUAGUGCAGCAGAUCAUAAAUUUGGUGGGAGAAGAUUAUUUGUCAUCAACAAAUGAAAUCUCAAUCCGAGCAGAGGAGUUUAACCAAAGAAUGAGUUGCCUGAAUUUUGGUGACUCAGUUGAGUUGGUAUGCAUAUUGAAAAGACUCGAGGAUUGCAAAGAGCGGCUUUUAGCUUUACCCAUUAAGAAGAAAACAUUGAUUGAGAACCUUUGGUGUUUUAUCAGGGAAAUGAAGGGAAGGGUUGAGAAUGGAAAAGCAUACAAAGAGGA
rnacentral:misc_RNA from 1 species